rnacentral:misc_RNA from 1 species
GUAUUAUAUAUAUUUCAGCCAACGAAGGCCUACUUAGACAUUCUUUAAACUUUUUAAAAGGGUGUGUGUAAAAACAUAGACACAGACUUGCGUCUGGCCUACAAUAAGUUCACAGGUGAAUAGAAAAGGCGGAGUGCACAUGCCCCAGAGGGGCCAGCAACAUCCUAAGGAUUUCAAUAAUGAUCCUUCCGCAGGUUCACCUACGGAAA